GGGCCUGUAGCUCAAUCGUUAGAGCCGGCGGCUCAUAACCGCUUGGUUGGAGGUUCGAGUCCCUCCGGGCCGCCA
rnacentral:tRNA from 1 species